UUAAAUUGAAGAGUUUGAUCAUGGCUCAGAUUGAACGCUGGCGGCAGGCCUAACACAUGCAAGUCGAACGGUAACAGGAAGCAGCUUGCUGCUUCGCUGACGAGUGGCGGACGGGUGAGUAAUGUCUGGGAAACUGCCUGAUGGAGGGGGAUAACUACUGGAAACGGUAGCUAAUACCGCAUAACGUCGCAAGACCAAAGAGGGGGACCUUCGGGCCUCUUGCCAUCGGAUGUGCCCAGAUGGGAUUAGCUA
rnacentral:rRNA from 1 species